GUGGAUUUGCACAGCCCAAACUGCAAGUUGCUUAUUAUUUGAAAUCCAGUGGAUAUCUUGACCUACGUGGCUUGGAAGAUAAGUGGCUUUCCCAAAAACCGUGUUAUUGGAAGUGGUUGCAACCUGGAUUCGGCCCGAUUCCAUUACCCGACGGGGAAAGACUGGGAGUUCACCUAUUAAGCUGUCAUGGGUGGGUCCUUGGGGAACAUGGAGAUUCCAGUGUGCCUGUAUGGAGUGGAGUGAAUGUUGCUUGUGUCUUCCUGAAGAUUCUGCACCCAGAUUUAGGCACUGAUACAGAUAAGAAACAGUGGAAAGAGGUUCACAAGCAGGUGGUUGAGAAUGCUUACGAGGUGAUCAAACUCAAAGGCUACACAUCCUGGGCCAUUGGACUCUGUAGCAGAUUUGGUAGAGAGUAUAAUGAAGAAUCUUAGGCAGGUGCACCCAAUUCCCACCAUGAUUAAGGGUCUCUAUGGAAUAAAGGAUGAUGUCUUCCUUAGUGUUCCUUGCAUUUUGGGACAGAAUGGAAUCUCAGACCUUGUGAAGGUGACUCUGACUCCUGAGGAAGAGGCCCGUUUGAAGAAGCGUGCAGACACACUUUGGGGGAUCCGAAAAGAGCUGCAAU
rnacentral:lncRNA from 1 species